UGGCGAAACCCUGUCUCUACCCAAAAUACAAAAAUUGGCCAGGCAUAGUGCUGCAUGCCUGUGGUCCUAGCUAUGCAGGAGGCUGAGGCGGGGCAAUGGCUGGAGGCCAGGAAGUGGAGGCUGUGGUGAGCCGUGAUUGUAUCACUGCACUCCAGCCUGGGUGACAGAAGGAGACCCUGUCUCAAAAUCAAAGGAGUUCAACAUAGUAUCUACCUGAUUGGAAAAAAUGCAGGGGCAGUUUCUUUGGAACAGGCUCUGUUGCAUUUGGUGAGCAACUUAACUUUUGGAAACACAGGGGCUUACACCAGUACUUUCUCCAGUGACACUAUUGCUGUCUCCUCUGGUAACAAUCUUUGUGUUUCAGGUAGAUGACAUUAAUGCUGAUAAGAAUAUCUCUUCUGCACAGAUUGUUGGUCCUGGACCCAAGCCAGAAGCCUCUGCAAAGCUUCCUUCCAGACCUGCGGAUAACUAUGACAACUUUGUCCUACCAGAGUUGCCAUCUGUGCCAGACACACUACCAACUGCAUCUGCUGGUGCCAGCACCUCAGCAUCUGAAGACAUUGACUUUGAUGAUCUUUCCCGGAGGUUUGAAGAGCUGAAAAAGAAAACAUAGGUCUCUUAAACCAGGCAACUUUCAC
rnacentral:sRNA from 1 species